UCCAUUAACAACAGUUCAUAACAGCUAAAGUUCAUAACAGCUAUUGUUUAGAAUAAUGACGUUUCAAAAAUAGUUAUGUUUAGAAAAUUUAUUAUUUAGAAUAAUUUGUAUUUAGAACAAUUGUGGUUUUUCAGAAGAGUUAUUGUACAGCCCAAUUUUCGGCCCAAAUAACUCCCAAAUAAUUCCAGACCCAAACUAAUCAAAACCUAGCCCAAAACCCACUAAACAUAUGAGCCCAAUACCCACUAAAUCCAAAACCCAAUAGCAGCCCAAUUCAAACCCUAAAACAAAAAGAACCAAAAACCCUAGCUGCUGCCUCCCUGUCCCAUCCUCCACCGACGCCUGCAAGCACCGCCACUGUGCCACCGCCCCACUUGCGCAUGCAACAUUAAAAGAGGAGAAUAGACAGAUAUUAAAAAAAGGGGCAUGUAAAUGGCUAUUUAAAAGCCAAAUCAAGGACCAUUUUACGUUCGGUUCUUCUUGAAAUGAAAAACAUUAUUAGAUCUUAAAGAACACAAAACAAGUAACAGAGAUUUCAUCAACAUCAAAAGCAGAAAAAACGAAGCCUAAGGAAGAAAUCAAAACCAGAGAUCGAAAGGUGUUUAAAUUUUCUAAGUUUCGAAUCGGUUCUUUUUUCUUUUUUCUUUUUUUUACUUUUCUUUUCCUGAUUACAUGGUUGUGCAUAUAUAUAUUAUUAAAAUAAAGAGGAAAAUAAAAAAAUGAAAUAAAAAAUACACCUUUUUCGAAAGCGGUGGCCGGCGAUGGCGCCCGCGGCGGAGGACGGUGGCUGUUCGCCGGAGCCCAGACCGGACCAGGAGAACCUGCACAGAGAAAAAAGAAGCAUUUUUUUGAUAAACAAAAGGGAAGAAUGGAAUUUUU
rnacentral:lncRNA from 1 species